rnacentral:lncRNA from 1 species
UCAUACGUCUUGAAGUGAAUCUCUGGCUGGUGCACAUCAUUAUUUAAGUGAAUCAACCGUGAGCAUAUUAUGAAGAAAUUUAGUUGUAUGUCAAAGGGUUACUGUGAUCAACAUAGAAAUUAAUCAAAUGAUGGAAUCAAAGGGUUACUGUGAGUUGCAUGGUCAACAGGUACAUUCUACUUGAUUUCAUGCUUCAAAUAAGGGGCCGUACUUACCACCUAUAUGCUUAAAUAAAUUUGAUUAACCUUCUAUGGUGUCGUUUGCCUUCACUAGCUUUCCCUGUCCAAUAGUGUUUUUUUAAUUAAUUUUUCUCACCUCUUAUGGUAAUUCUAAUAUUUUGGGGUUUCUGUUUCUGUCAUUAUUGUUCUUGCUGUAAAAGACAUGUAGGUACAGUUUUUAUCUAAUCUGCUUUCUUAAAAGCAUUACUGUUUGAGGAGAGUAUAUGGUCCAAAUAUUAGUGUUUUCAGUUCCUAAGCAGUACGUGUGUGAUCAUCUUUCAGGAUCAAACCUGCUGAAGACUCGGGGGUUCAGAAGCAUUCCAAGGAUGGAUUGGAUUCAAGGUUCUCUGGAAGAAAGGCUGUGAGAAUCAAUCCAGAUUAUUAUGUCCGACUAUGAAGUCAUACGUCACUCGUACAUGGUGUCUUUCAACUUGAAUCAUGUUUUGAGUGUCCUCGUAUGGUCCAUAAUGGUGUCAAUGAAGUAUGAACUCUGGGUUUGUUGUCUGUAAUUUACAAAACUCGUGCGUGUAGUUAAACUUUUGUUAUUAUUUUCUUUCCAUACCCGAGAACAGUCUGUGGGAACGUUCCUGCUCUUGGUGCAUCUUGUUGGACAAGCAAAGACCACUGUGUGUGGGAGUAACUUAGCACAGUACAGAUGACUGAUCCUUUGUAAAUUGUAAUUGAUCCCAGAUAUGUUUUGACAAUGCAAAAGUCCAAGAGUAGUCUUUCAACUUAUGUCUUGUUUUCUACUUCCAUAUGAGAAAUAGGUGGAUAACUAGAAUUUGAGGAAAUCUUCAGUUGGCAGGCUAUAGCUACCCCAGUCUGUCUUGUUGAGGUUGAAAGCCAUCAAUUGCAUUGGUACCAGACUCUUCUUAUUAAGCCCUUCU